rnacentral:rRNA from 1 species
ACGUAUGUCGCAAGCGUUAUCCGGAAUUAUUGGGCAUAAAGGGCGUCUAGGCGGUUUAGAAAGUCUGAUGUGAAAAUGCGGGGCUCAACCCCGUAUUGCGUUGGAAACUACUAGACUAGAGUAUUGGAGAGGUAAGCGGAACUACAAGUGUAGAGGUGAAAUUCUUAAAUAUUUGUAGGAACGCCAAUCGCGAAGGUAGAAUACGGGAAAAUGACCGACGGUGACGCGCGUAAGUUAGUGGAGCAAAAAG